AUGGCUGUCGUCAGCUCGUGUCGUGAGAUGUUGGGUUAAGUCCCGCAACGAGCGCAACCCUUGUCCUAUGUUGCCAGCGGGUAAUGCCGGGGACUCGUAGGAGACUGCCGGGGUCAACUCGGAGGAAGGUGGGGACGACGUCAAGUCAUCAUGCCCCUUACGUCCAGGGCUGCACACAUGCUACAAUGGCCGGUACAAAGGGCUGCUAUCCCGCGAGGGUGAGCGAAUCCCAUAAAGCCGGUCUCAGUUCGGAUUGCAGUCUGCAACUCGACUGCAUGAAGUCGGAGUCGCUAGUAAUCCCGGAUCAGCAACGCCGGGGUGAAUACGUUCCCGGGCCUUGUACACACCGCCCGUCAAACCACGAAAGUCGGCAACACCCGAAGCCGGUCACCCAACCCUUAGGGGAGGGAGCCGUCGAAGGUGGGGUCGGUGAUUGGGGUUAAGUCGUAACAAGGUAGCCGUACCGGAAGGUGCGGCUGGAUCACCUCCUUUCUAAGGAGUUGCCUGCAGAUCACUUACACACAUUUUGUGGGUAGGUCCUGCGAACUCCCAGUCGAUAACUGGUUAUUCGGUGUUCUCGGCGCAACUGGCGUCGGUUGUAUCGCAAUGCUUCGGCAACGCGAUCCCCACCCCAGAAGCAAUGUGGAUUUCGGACUGUUCCUGUUCCGUUUUCAGGGAGCGGCGCUCGCGUCGCGCCCUUUGAGAACUCCAUAGCGAGCACGAGCAUCUAAUUCUCCAAGCUACAAAGAGCCAACGGUGGAUGCCUUGGCGCCUGAUGCCGAUGAAGGACGUGGGAGGCUGCGAAAAGCCACGGGGAGCUGCCUACCAAGCUUCGAUCCGUGGACGUCCGAAUGGGGAAACCCGG
rnacentral:sRNA from 1 species